rnacentral:rRNA from 1 species
GAUGAACGCUGGCGGCGUGCCUAAUACAUGCAAGUCGAGCGAACAGACGAGGAGCUUGCUCCUCUGACGUUAGCGGCGGACGGGUGAGUAACACGUGGAUAACCUACCUAUAAGACUGGGAUAACUUCGGGAAACCGGAGCUAAUACCGGAUAAUAUAUUGAACCGCAUGGUUCAAUAGUGAAAGACGGUUUUGCUGUCCCUUAUAGAUGGAUCCGCGCCGCAUUAGCUAGUUGGUAAGGUAACGGCUUACCAAGGCAACGAUGCGUAGCCGACCUGAGAGAGUGAUAGGCCACACUGGAACUGAGACACGGUCCAGACUCCUACGGGAGGCAGCAGUAGGGAAUCUUCCGCAAUGGGCGAAAGCUUGACGGAGCAACGCCGCGUGAGUGAUGAAGGUCUUCGGAUCGUAAAACUCUGUUAUUAGGGAAGAACAAAUGUGUAAGUAACUAUGCACGUCUUGACGGUACCUAAUCAGAAAGCCACGGCUAACUACGUG